rnacentral:rRNA from 1 species
AUUGAACGCUGGCGGCAGGCCUAACACAUGCAAGUCGAGCGAGCGGCGGACGGGUGAGUAAUGUAUGGGGACUGCCCGAUAGAGGGGGAUAACUACUGGAAACGGUAGCUAAUACCGCAUACCAUCGGAUUACCCAUAUUGGAUUAUCUAGUAGGUGGGGUAAUGGCUCACCUAGGCGACGAUCCCUAGCUGGUCUGAGAGGAUGAUCAGCCACACUGGAACUGAGACACGGCCCAGACUCCUACGGAGGCAGCAGUGGGGAAUAUUGCACAAUGGGCGCAAGCCUGAUGCAGCCAUGCCGCGUGUAUGAAGAAGGCCCUAGGGUUGUAAAGUACUUUCAGUGGGGAGGCGUUACCGACAGAAGAAGCACCGGCUAACUCCGUGCCAGCAGCCGCGGUAAUAC